rnacentral:misc_RNA from 1 species
GAUGAAGAACACAGCGAAAUGCGAUAAGUAAUGUGAAUUGCAGAAUUCAGUGAAUCAUCGAAUCUUUGAACGCACAUUGCGCCCUCUGGUAUUCCGGGGGGCAUGCCUGUUCGAGCGUCAUUAUAACCACUCAAGCUCUCGCUUGGUAUUGGGGCUCGCGGUUCCGCGGCCCCUAAAAUCAGUGGCGGUGCCUGUCGGCUCUACGCGUAGUAAUACUCCUCGCGAUUGAGUCCGGUAGGUCUACUUGCCAGCAACCCCCAAUUUUUACAGGUUGACCUCGGAUCAGGUAGGGAUACCCGCUGAACUUAAGCAUAUCAAUAAGCGGAGGA